rnacentral:rRNA from 1 species
UCAGGCCUGCCCAAUGAAUAUUUAAUGGCUGCAGUAUUUUGACUGUACAAAGGUAGCAUAAUCAUUAGUUUCUUAAUUAGAAGCUGGUAUGAAUGGUUUAAUGAAAAAAAUACUGUCUUUAAUUAAAUUUGUUUAGAACUUUAUUUUUAAGUUAAAAAGCUUAAAUAAAUCUAAAAGACGAGAAGACCCUAUAGAGUUUAAUAAUUUUAUAAGAUAAUAAUUUUAAGAAUUAUAUAUUAUUUAUUUUAAUAAUUAUUUUGUUGGGGUGACAGAAAAAUUUAAUAAACUUUUUAAGUUAAAAACAUAUAUUUAUGAAUUUAUGAUCCGUUGGUUACGAUUAAAAGAUUAAAUUACCUUAGGGAUAACAGCGUAAUUUUUUUGGCGAGUUCUUAUCAAUAAAAAAGUUUGCGACCUCGAUGUUGGAUUAAAAUUUACAGUUGGUGCAGUAGCUGAGCUGUUAGGUCUGUUCGACCUUUAAAAUUUUNNNNNNNNNNNNNNNNNNNNNNUGUGAGCCAGGUUGGUUUCUAUCUUUAGAUAUAUAAAAUAUUUUAGUACGAGAGGACCAAAUAUUUAUAAAAUUUAUUAUUAUUUGAAUUAAA